AUACGGAGGGUGCGAGCGUUAAUCGGAAUUACAGGGCGUAAAGGGUGCGUAGGCGGCUUGAUAAGUCGGAUGUGAAAGCCCCGGGCUUAACCUGGGAAUUGCAUUCGAUACUGUCAGGCUAGAGUAUGUCAGAGGUUGGCGGAAUUCCUGGUGUAGCGGUGAAAUGCGUAGAUAUCAGGAGGAACACCAGUGGCGAAGGCGGCUAACUGGGACAAUACUGACGCUGAGGCACGAAAGCGUGGGGAGCAAACAGGAUUAGAAACCCCUGUAGUCC
rnacentral:rRNA from 1 species